rnacentral:rRNA from 1 species
CGCGGCCUAUCAGCUUGUUGGUGAGGUAAUGGCUCACCAAGGCUUCGACGGGUAGCCGGCCUGAGAGGGCGACCGGCCACACUGGGACUGAGAUACGGCCCAGACUCCUACGGGAGGCAGCAGUGGGGAAUAUUGCACAAUGGGCGAAAGCCUGAUGCAGCGACGCCGCGUGAGGGAUGACGGCCUUCGGGUUGUAAACCUCUUUCAGUAGGGAAGAAGCGAAAGUGACGGUACCUGCAGAAGAAGCGCCGGCUAACUACGUGCCAGCAGCCGCGGUAAUACGUAGGGCGCAAGCGUUAUCCGGAAUUAUUGGGCGUAAAGAGCUCGUAGGCGGUUUGUCGCGUCUGCCGUGAAAGUCCGGGGCUCAACUCCGGAUCUGCGGUGGGUACGGGCAGACUAGAGUGAUGUAGGGGAGACUGGAAUUCCUGGUGUAGCGGUGAAAUGCGCAGAUAUCAGGAGGAACACCGAUGGCGAAGGCAGGUCUCUGGGCAUUAACUGACGCUGAGGAGCGAAAGCAUGGGGAGCGAACAGGAUUAGAUACCCUGGUAGUCCAUGCCGUAAACGUUGGGCACUAGGUGUGGGGGACAUUCCACGUUUUCCGUACCGUAGCUAACGCAUUAAGUGCCCCGCCUGGGGAGUACGG